UUUCCGGUUGAUCCCGCCGGACCUGACUGCUAUCGGAUUGAUACUAAGCCAUGCGAGUCAUUGUAGCAAUACAAGGCAUACGGCUCAGUAACGCGUAGUCAACCUAACCUAUGGACGGGAAUAACCUCGGGAAACUGAGGAUAAUGCCCGAUAGAACAUUAUACCUGGAAUGGUUUAUGUUCCAAAUGAUUUAUCGCCAUAGAUGGGACUGCGGCCUAUCAGUUUGUUGGUGAGGUAAUGGCCCACCAAGACUAUUACAGGUACGGGCUCUGAGAGGAGUAGCCCGGAGAUGGGUACUGAGACACGGACCCAGGGCCUAUGGGGCGCAGAGGCGAGAAAACUUUGCAAUGUGCGAAAGCACGACAAGGUUAAUCUGAGUGAUUUCUGCUAAAGAGAUCUUUUGUUAGUCCUAGAAACACUAACGAAUAAGGGGUGGGCAAGUCUGGUGUCAGCCGCCGCGGUAAAACCAGCACCUCAAGUGGUCAGGAUGAUUAUUGGGCCUAAAGCAUCCGUAGCCGGCUCUGUAAGUUUUCGGUUAAAUCUGUACGCUCAACGUACAGGCUGCCGGGNAUACUGCAGAACUAGGGAGUGGGAGAGGUAGACGGUACUCGGUAGGAAGUGGUAAAAUGCUUUGAUCUAUCGAUGACCACCUGUGGCGAAGGCGGUCUACCAGAACACGUCCGACGGUGAGGGAUGAAAGCUGGGGGAGUAAACCGGAUUAGAUACCCGGGUAGUCCCAGCUGUAAACUAUGCAAACUCAGUGAUGCAUUGGCUUGUGGCCAAUGCAGUGCUGCAGGGAAGCCGUUAAGUUUGCCGCCUGGGAAGUACGUACGCAAGUAUGAAACUUAAAGGAAUUGGCGGGGGAGCACCACAAGGGGGGAAGCUGCGGUUCAAUUGGACUCAACGCCGG
rnacentral:rRNA from 1 species